rnacentral:misc_RNA from 1 species
ACAAACUUGGUCAUUUAGAGGAAGUAAAAGUCGUAACAAGGUUUCCGUAGGUGAACCUGCGGAAGGAUCAUUACCGAGUUAGGGUUGACAUCCAGCCCGACCUCCAACCCUUUGUUUACUUGACCUUUUGUUGCUUCGGCAGGCCCGCUCUUCGGGGCCGCCGGGGGUGGUUCCACCCCGGGCCCGUUGCCUGCCGGUGGCCUUUUCAAAAACUCUUGUUCAAACAUGUCGUCUGAGUUGGUUAAACUAAAUAACUAAAAACUUUCAACAACGGAUCUCUUGGUUCUGGCAUCGAUGAAGAACGCAGC